UAUAAUUCAUGGUAUAGUGUUUCAUUUGUGUUUAAAAACAUGUUAAAAGGUUAAAAAACUUGCUAAUUCAUGGUGUUUUAUGUUAAUUAAGGUAAAAUGGCUAAAAUAUGUGUUCAGACUCUUAUUGUGAAAGGGUACGCUGCAGCGUGACUCCUGUGAUCAGCCACACCCAAUCGUGUUGUUCCUUCUUUUUGAUGCUGGAGAGGGAGAAAUGCAGGUAGUCCUUGCGGAGCUGCUGCCUAAACGAGUGAAAAAAUAUUAAAAAACAAGCCAGAAGUCUACAUAAAGCCAUUUUUGUACUCUGGAGAAUAUAUUUUUGUUUUUCCGACCUGUCUUUGCCUUGGUGACGUCGUGAACGUAACCGAACGGGACUUGGCCAUUAAGAUUUGGAUCGGGAAAUGCCGAGCUAGAUUCGGAGUUUGAUCCGCUGAGCGAGAAACAAGAUGGCGAGCCACCCAGGGACCCAUUGAACUGUACCGAGCAGGAAAAAAGAAACCGCCCCCUGCUGGACGUUGAACUCUUUCACUAAAAAAAACUGGUAGGAUUAAUCCAUACACCUCUGCAAAAGAACAGUGGACUUUCAAAGCACUGGAAAAUCAUUCAGAGCAAUUCCAGGAUUUAUAGUUAAAGGACACAGAGACAAUUUUCUUUUGUUU